GUGAAUGAAGCAGAACUUGCGAAAGAACAGAAAGUUAUUCGUUCAGCCAUAGCUAAAGUAACAGGUUCUAUUGAAUCUUUAACUGCUUCUUUGAUAGAAAUUUUAAAAGUAAAAGCUGUUUCUUUGAAAGCAUAAGAUCUAACUGAUGUAAACGACACUGAAUCUUAACUCGAAAGUGCCUCGGAAUACGAAGAAUAUCUUCAUAUCGAGUAUGAAUUAAACUAUUUUGCCAGGCAGAAGAAAUAAUGCGCAUACAGCAUAUUUCCUCAGAGCAUAAACCAUUCAAUCAAAAUACCCUUCUGCAUAAGCGAAGCAUAUAUAAGUUGGAUUAAUUUAGUAAAAUGCAGUUUUAUAAAAAGAAAAUUAAUGAUUGUGUACAGUAUAUGCAACAACAAAACAUAUUUCAUAAAUAAUCUAAAAAUGUAUUGAAAUAUUUUAAAAUUAAAUUUAUUUGUUUAUAUACAAUUGAAGAACUGUACUUUUCAGAGAAAAACACCUUAAAUGAAAAACAAUAUUUAUAUGAAUAUGCAUAGAGAAAAUUUUGAAUGAAGUUUUAUUAAAUCACCAUAGUACCAAAGUUAAAGUACAAAUUCAUAUGUGACUGAACACAUGACCACAAAAGAUACUCAUGAAAAAUGUACACAUAGAAAUAACUACUUUUUGAAUUGCGAUUGUCUGGCUUUUUUUAAACCUCUUCUUUUAAGAGAAGAUUUCUUCCAAGUAUAAAAAUCUCCAUUACAAAAUUUAUCUUCAUUGUUAUAUGUACAACAUUUUUACAUUUAACAAAAAAAUUGAACAUUUUUCAAGAACAAAAUUUAUACUUUUUUUUUGUAUAAAAAUAAUAAAAAUAUGGCAAAAUAUUAACAAGGUAAAAGAGCUAAAAACAAAAUUAACAAAGAAAAUACAAUAAAAACUGUGCAGAAUUGAGCACUGCAUAUAUAUUGAUGUCAUAGGCACUUGGAAAUAAAAAUACUAUAAAAUCAAGCUGAAAUUAUUUCAACACAUAUAAAAUUCUUUAACUCUCUAACAAGCCAGAUUAUUUUUAAUAGAUCAUGACUUCUGUUGUCAUUCAGUACAUAUUCACUUGUUUUUAAAAAUUUUUCCACUUUUUUUUCUUUGAUGGUUUAGAAAUUAUUCUAAUAAAUUAAAAUUUAGAUAAUAAAUGCUUGUAUAAUAUUUCAUACCUAAAAGCUAAAGCUGUCAGAGAGUUAAAUCAUAUAUACUGAUUUUGGGCCUAAUUUAAUGCACAGAAAUUUUGGAAUAAGUUCAAUGAAUGAGAGAAAUGUAGUACGUAAAAUUUUCUCAUAAAAGUAAUGAUGCUAGUAUUAAAAACUUGAAAAUGAAAGACAAUAAUGUGCAGAAACAGACAUUUUUUAAACAUUUACAAUGCAUUUCGGAAUUUCAUUGCAUUCAAAAUUGAGUUUACAAGGAAUCCAUGCAAGGCAUAUUUAUGCGAGACUCCAAUAAAACAAAAACCUGCUUAAAAACCAUAAUAAAAUAGGGUACUUUUCUGUUACUGAAACCAGAUUCAGAAAUGUAUGUAUAUAAGCAUAUGUGUAUACAUACAUAAAUGCAUGCAUUCAUAUCGUUCUAAAUCUAGCCCAAUAACAGAGAAGUACCUAAGACUGUGCUGUUUGAAACAAGUGAUGAUAGGAACAACUUGAUAUAUGGCCAUUAAAACAGGAAAAUACCUAAAAUAAGCAACAUUUAUCACACUUGAUAAAAAUGUCAAAAUAUUUCAGAAAAAGAAUUAUCAAAGGUCAAAGAUUAUGCAUUAUAUUAAAAUAAGAAUAGAUUUCGUUGCAAAUUCACCUUUUUUAAGGCAAACACAUUAACUGCUUCUUCUUUUACUAACAACUAUAGCUCAAACUGAAUUUGGGCAUAAAAUCUAUAAAUUAAAUAAUGAAACCCCAUUCUACAUUUAUAAAAGUAUUUCAUUAAAAAAUUGCACAUACACUGCAAAUUUCAAAUGACAACUCCCCCCCCAACACACACACCCAAAAAAAGUUUGAUGUUAAGGUCAUUUUUUCGCAUGUGAAUGAAAUUUUAGUUCUAUUUAUUAAAGAGACAAAAUGCAUUAUUCUAAUACUGGAUAAUAUAAAAAAGACCUUCACAUUUCUUUUGAUCUAUAAAAAAUAAAAGAUUCACACUAAUGUUUUUAAAUCAAAAUUUCUGCAUUGGUAGAAAUUAAUGAAACUUAAAAUGCAAAUUAUGAAAAACAAAUGCAUUUUCACAUUAACUGUUCAGCAAUCUGUUAAAUAUAAAAAAUCAACUUUUACACUAGAACGACUGGAAAUAAACUUUUUCCUCAUUAAGACUCAAAUAUAUGUAUAUAUUAUUGUAUAUAUUAUGAAUACACAAUAUGGGGAAACACCCACAAGAUCAAAUACAUAUUAAUGCAAUUAUGUUAAAAACUUAAAUAUAAAUAUUUAUUCUUCCAUAUAUAAAAAGAAAAAAUGGGGAAGAAUUCUUUAAAUAUUACAAGUUAAGUAAAAAAAAUCUUCAUUCACAGAAUGAAAAUAUAAAGUCAUAUUUGCUCUAAUAAAUGCAAUAUGUAAAAAGUUAUAUACAAACAUGCUAACAUACAUAUUUUUUAAACUUACAAAAUUAUGGAAGACAAAUUCCAAAUUUCUCAAGUUCUUUCUCGUAAAUUUAUUUCAACGUGGAACUAAAUUUUUAAAAUACAUACUGAUUAAUUCAAAAGCAUUUAAAUAAAAUGAUUUAGAAUAAAUAUUUUGGAAGCUAAAACAGGAACACCCUCUAUCAAAAAAAAAAAAAAAAAAAUAAAAAAAUAACCUGACUUGAAAACCUUAGGUUAGGCAUCAAUACUUGCAACAGUAAUAUUCUGCAGAGGGCAGUUUUUAAAAUUUGUUGAAAUAUAAGUGCUCUGGAAGGGUUGUUGGCGUGAGAAGUGUGCAACAAUAAGUGUGGGACGCUCUUAAUAAAUAACUGGCAUCUAUUCAGCUAAAUCAGUGUUAGCACUAAUGCCAGCUGUGACAAUAUGAAUUAAGAUUUUUCAAAAAUAGGCAAAAAUGACUAAUCACAUUGCAUAUAUUCAGUCAUUAUUAUUUAUAAGAUACCUCAGAGGGAUUCAAGAAAAGCUUAAAAAACAUAUCUUUAAUAUACAUCGUGAGACUACAUGUUUUCUUAUUUUGGCAAUGAACAAACUGAAAAAUAAGCCAGAAAAUGUCCUCCCCCGACCCCCCCCAAAAAGACAGAUUCAUGAUUUUGGCAUUAGUGAAAACAAAAUAUAAAUUCUUAUACAAUUUAUUACAGUAUUUUAUACAUAAAUUAAAAUUUUUGCUAAAAAGACUUUAGCUACUACUGUCACAAUUACAACAGAUAAAUAAUUAACAUAUAGAUAAUUAUCAGGAAUAUCAUAAUUAUUUUAUAAACUAGUCCUUUUACACCACAUCCUAACAGCCCCAUAACUUGAGAAAAUUGGAAGAUACCUACUCAUUACCAUGUGCAAUUAAUAUAAAAUUAAUUUUUUAACCUCUCAAAAUUGGCAUGCAUAAAUUUCUGCAGAAUAGCUUUCUUCAUUAAAAUAAAUUUACAUCAUAAAUCCAAAAACCCUUCACAAAGCUGCCAGCAGUGAAAAUUUUUUUACUGUAAAGCAAAAACAUGAAUCAAAUUUCUACUAUAAAUAAAAAAGGGAAACUUUUAGGAAAACAAAUGCUUUUAUAGAAAUGUUUUUAAAAGAUAAAUUACAAAUUUUAUACAAUUUCUGAUGAAAAUGUAAUAACUAAUGUAUAUGUACUAAGAAAACUAUUAACAUUAAAACUACUGAUCUGUCAAAAUGACAGACGUUCCCUCUUGGCAGAAAUAAAAGCACAUUAAUAAUUAAUAGUUCUAGCAUUAAAAAUGAAUGAAAAAUUUUAAGAGGAAAAAUAAAUCAUUUUGACAGUUCAGUAAUGGGAUGUUACAAUUAAUUUUUUCAUCAUAAAAGAGGAAAUAUUUUAUAAUCUUAUUUAUUAUAUACAUUACUUUUGAUGUGACACAAUUUUAUGAUCUAUAAGUAUAUAAAAUACCUGAAAUUUUCUAUGUAUUUCACAGAAGUCCAUGAUACAAAACAUACAGGCAUGCAAAUGAGAAAAAAAUUCUAUAUACAAACAUAUUACUAGCAAGACUCACUAUUAUUUCUUGAAUAUGUUACAAUGUAUCUCUCCAACCACAGAGACAGAAUAUAUCCACUAAUUUUGAGGCUAGUUACAUAUUUAUCAAUUAGAUAGUACAGCAAAAUGCUUAUGAAUGAAAUUAAAUUUUACUGGCAGGGAAGCACUAUGACUAAAUUUGAUGUUGAAAUGAAAAAGUAAUAUGGAAAUAUUUGUGGGAGGGGGGAAGAAAGAGUUCUUUUUUUUUUAUAUAUAAUAUAUUUAGAUGCUUAUUUCACAUAGUUACAAUUUUUUGUUUAUAAAAAUAUUGGACACAAUUAGGUUCUGUUCCCGUAUGCAAUAUACAGGUAGGAUUUUGAAGAUCUCAAUAUUACAAAAUUAAAAAGUUUAAAAAGAAUAGUAGUUACUAAAACAGUGUGAAGAGAUUCUUAAAAUCUAUAUUUUAUUAUUUGUGAACAUUAAUAAAGACAACAAAAUCCUUUCCAUAGCAGAACUCAUAUUUAUUAUUUGAAAACAUUCAUCAAAGAUUUUAAAAACAGUCACACUUUUUAUUGCAUAAAAAGGCAGGGGAAAUGACUUAAACCAGAAUUAAUGUACACAUAAGUUUCCUUUAUAAUGUCCAAAAAUAAGCUGUAAUUUUAAGAGAUAAUAACAUUCUCAAAUUUUAUUUUUUCUGUCAUAAAAAGUACAUAAAAUCUUGCUUUUAGAUCUGAAAAUUGUAUACUUAGUGACAUAUCAAAUAAGACUUAGAUUAAUGAA